rnacentral:rRNA from 2 species
AGUUAAAACUUUCAACAACGGAUCUCUUGGUUCUGGCAUCGAUGAAGAACGCAGCGAAAUGCGAUAAGUAAUGUGAAUUGCAGAAUUCAGUGAAUCAUCGAAUCUUUGAACGCACAUUGCGCCCCUUGGUAUUCCGGGGGGCAUGCCUGUUCGA